GGCCCUAUGCCGGGGCCUUCUCAUCCCCGACCUCACUCAGUCCCUUCUCAUAGGCCCCUCAGGGUUGACCACGCUGUACAGAAGGCGGGGAGUUGAGGCUCAGAGCGAGAUGUGACUUGCCCAAGACCACACAGCGUGUGCGUGAGUAGCUGAGCUGCGACUGCCACCCAGUCUGUUCCGGGCUUCAAGGGCUGCUCUUUUGUGGAAAAUCUCACCGACUUGGAAAGUGACCAGAAGGAAGUUCCAGGAAGGAGACCUCACUCUGCAGGUGCCAGGAGCCUCCCUCAAGAUAUGUCGCUGCCUGCUUCCACCUCCACCUGCGCUUGGCUCUCUUCCCCUGGGACACCACCUGAACAGACCAAACACGCGGCUCUUCUCAGCUUCCAGGCAGGGGUGGCUUCUGUGGGUCCUUGGGAUGGACACAGAUGAAGGCGGAAGGAGAUGUGAGGCAGGGUCGGCUGUGGUGUCCCUGACCCCACGUGGAAGUCGAGGCCAGCGAGGGACAGAGACCUGGAGAAGCAGGCCUGGGCACCGUAGGGCAGGACUACAGACUCCUGACCUCUCCCUGCACCGGAACAGAGGGUCUUGUCUUCCGCACUCUGGAGAGACCCCAACAAGCCACGUGCUCCCUACCAAGGCCAGAACUAGCAGAACGAGGAAGCCCCCACUCCAGGGCUGAGCUGGAAGAGCUGGUGGGGUCUCUGUAGGAGACUGUAGGCUCUGGGGAGGGGCAGCAGGGCGGCAGCACUGGGCUCAGAUCUGGCCCAUCUGCAUGUGCUCCAUCCGUCUGGUCCCCCAGCCAGACCCUCCUCCCUCUUGGCUCUCUGACCUCAGAGGUGCUGGGGCAGGGCAGGGGCUGCUGAGGAGCCAUAUCCAUAGGUGACCUCUGGGAGCGGGUCGUAUAUGCUGCAGUUGGGCAUGGGACCCUUGCAGUAGAUGUUGAGGUAGCCACGGUACUCCUCCCUGUACACCCGGUUCUUGAGGCACAGAGCCACGCUCUUGUCACACUCGCACGUCUGCUUGUCACACUCUGUCUUGUUGAGCUCGCCUGGGGAUGGGAAGGGUGCAAAGCUUUGACUGGUGGGGCAGCAGCCACACCAGGAUGUUGGGGGAUGGGGACGCAGACCUUGGGACCCCAGGGGCCCCGAGAAUGUGGCCCUAUCCCAGGCUGUGGGGCCAGCUGCUCCAGAUGGGGUCCUUCAGUUUAUUGUAACAAAUCCUGCGGUGAGUCUAGUGCAGGUGAAAACCAGGAAACCACUGAAGUCCAACAUGGGCUUUGUAUAGUUGGACAGAGGCCCAGAAAGAGGGACGGUUUAUCUAAGUCAUCCAGAAAACCAGAGGUCCACCCUGGCCGUAAUUUUACUCUUUCUCCUCUCCCAGGCCUCCCUACUCCAGUCCCAGGGCCAAAACCCCCCACCCUGGAUGGAGUGAUUGAGUGGCAGGAAGUACUUACACUCAUUUGUGUGUGUGCUCAUCAGUUCUAACACCAACUGCUUGCUUGUGCUAAUUCCUACCCUUGAUCUUAGCCAAAAGGCUGAGAAGCGAGGCUUGCGCUAAUUCUUAAUUUUAUGCUACGGUUGACUUUAGACGGAUGUUUACUUGUUAGUGUCACUUUGUCCCAUGCAAUGUUUGGGACACGCUUAUGCCACAUGUUUUUCAUUGUUUGCCUGAGAUCCCAGCACAAUGGGGCACAACACAGGGUGAGACCACUGUUGAGGGGGUGACUCACUGCAGACGAUCACAGUGUCAUUCUCGAUCACGUAGUCAUAGUGGUCCACAUAGGGGCGGCAGCCCUGGUCAAAGAGCUUCUGGUAGCAGCAGUCGUGGGCAUGGCAGCACCUGGGAGUGGGCAGGGGUGAGCAGGCAGAAAUAGCCAGCUGGUCCAUUCCUCCUCCCCAGCAGACCAUCUGUCCCUGUCCCUCGUGGGUCAGACCUUUAGACUGUAGCCCAGGGAGGGCCAGUUACUCGCUUGAGUAACCACACGCAGAGCUGGGGCUGGUGUCCUGGGAUCUUGUCCUUAUUCCCACCUCUUAUCCUAUCCUCAGAGUUCCCACCUUCCCCAGCUGGAGCCCAGCAUACAGCUGCUGGGGUGUGGGGACUGUUAGGGGGCCCCGAAGUGAGGUCAGUGUGGGAGGCAGGGGCCUGGGCUCUGGAUGCAGAGGCUCCGCCUGGCUGGGUCGAGUGUCCAUGGAGGGAUAUGGUCUGGAGGGUCAGCGGGCAUUGCCAGAAGGGGGGUGGGCAGUAGGUGCAGAGCGGCUGUCCCUGUCACCUCUGGAGGAAUGAAAUUAGUGGUCAGCACGCAUUUGUUAAGUUCCCAGUGACGCCACCCUGGAUGCUGCUUGCUGUAAGGGAGGUGGCGUAGAAGCCAUGGUGUGGGGGACUUCCAGGCUGGCAGAGGAAGCACAGCCCUGUCCUCCAGAGCUUCCAGUCCAAUGGAGCAAGUGUCAUGGUCCUUGCUGUUCAGAGAUCAGCUGUGUGACUGUUGUUCCCUUGUGCAUUUGGGAACCCAGCAAAGGUUCCAUGCGUGCCUUUGCCCGAGACUUUGGAGGAGGAAAACACAAAGGCUCCAAGGCAGAUGGGGAAGACAUGGUCAAAGGUCAGGAUAAUCGCCCGUAACAUCAAAUAGGCCCUGUCCUUUGGGAGAGGGCUUCCUUUGUCCUCACAAACACGGAGGCCAACAUGGACCUUCAGCUGUCCCCUUGGUCCCCGACAAGAGCCCAGAGCAGCAGCACCUACCAGUCCACUUCAUCCUUGGGCUGGCCGCGCCCCCCCAGCCCGCAGUAGCAGCCAUAGCCCACGAAGGACAGGAUGGCGCCUCUGCCUGUGACGGCCUCCACCAUGGACUUGAGGUUGAACAGGCUGCCAUAGGCAGUGGACAAAACUGCAAGAGAACCAAAGGGAUGUGUGAGCCCUACCCCAUGACUGUCCUCCCCCUGCCCAGGGCCAAGGGAAAGGGGAGGAAAGGGGGAAAGCAGGAGAGGUAGGGCAGUGCAGAGAGCAAAGGAGAGAGGAAAUCUGCAAGGUCUCGAAGACGGUGCAUUACCGAUGUCCUGCAUUACAGCUUACGUUCCCGAGGAACUGGCACGUUCAUUCUAGCUGAGGCCGCGUUCCGUGCCAGGCACGGUCCUGAGCUCUUCUGUGCACCGUGCUUGGAGUACUCACUGCAGCCCUCAAGCAGUCAUCUCUUUUUAUAGAUAAGGAGGCUGAGGCUGGAGCAAUUUUUAACUUGUCCAAGGUCAAGUCGUCAAAGAGGGGUGGAGACAGAACCAGGAUCCAGGCAGUGAGGUUUCCUCACCCACACCCUGUGUCACUUGGCUGUACAAAUGCUCCUCCAUUUAUGAUGGUACAUGCUGAUAAACCCAUUAUAAGAUCUCCCUGUGUCUCACCAGCCUGGGAAAACAUCCGAACUCAAAAUUUGAAAUAUGGUGUCUAGUAAAUGUGUGUUAUUUUUCACCAUCAUAAAGUGAGAAAAAAAAACCAAAACAUUCAAGUCAAACCAUCACGAGCUGGGGACCAUCUGAAUUGAACAUGGUCCCUAAGGAGGGGCUUGCCACAUGCCUCACACGCUGGAGGGGCUUUGCAAAUGCCACAUGUGGUUAGGAGCUAUAGGGCUCUGAUUCUGGGUCCUUCCUCUCCUUCCCUGGCCCGUCUCUGCCCCCUGUGAGAGUCAGGGUCCCCAUCUCAGCCUGGAGUUUGUGCCUCUCAGGCUUAAUCCAGAGAAAAUUCAGAAAGGGUUUCCUAUUGCUGGCUCAGGCUGGCUGGUGUUUGGGAGAGGCACACCCACGUGUGUUCAUGCACACACACAUGUACACACUAAUGCGUGCACAGAGGAAGCAGUAGUGCAAGGACAUUUCCUAUACCAGACAAAUCCACUUCCUGGUUUUCACUAGGCCCACCCAGUGCUGGGAUGCAUGCUCCUGGCACCCAUAGUCCUUUCCUGGGCGAAGCCACCCCACACACCAGCAGGAAAGUCAUUCUAUCUCCAUUUAUGGGUGAGAAAAUUAAGGCCCAGAAAGGUGAAAGCUCACCUGGGUCCUACAGGCCGGAAGUGGCAGAGCCCAGAAUGGAACUUGGGUUUGUUGGCCCUGAGCUGGGAUGUUAACCGUCAUGCAGCACAGACCUCACCUGCAAUUUCUAUCCUUGGGCGCCUCCAGCUGCACCCAGGGUUAAGUGCCUGGAUCAGUGCCUGCCUCCUGCUCCCUCCGAGUUCCUCCCCGCUCUGCCCUCCUGCAUGAACUAGGAAAUGUUCUCAGAGAAAGUUGAGGACUUCAGAGGCUUGAUGGACCCCAAGGGCUACACUUGCUUUUUGAGAUGCGGUUGUUCAAAACUUCUAGUGAUGGAGAAUGAUCACCACCGCAACCAACGCGGAAGAGCUCAGACUUUGGAGUCAAGCAGACUUGAACCCAAAACAACAGCUCCUUGGGGAUCCAUUUCCACAUCUGUACGAUGGGGGUGACUGCCUGGGCUGGGACAGACCUGUGGGCCAGUGCCUGGCGUGAGUCUAGCUCAUCCCAGAUCCUUGCAGCCACCACAGUGCCGCCUCUCAGGGGUUGGUGGGGCCCUGGGUCAGGCCUGUCUCACCAUCGGGGUGUAGGUUGGGAAUCCUGCUCCCCCAGAGUCUUCUGGGGUUGACUGUACGGUGUCCACCAUUCAGAGAACAAAGAGCAAAGAAGAGGAAAAGAAGAAGGACAAGGGGAAAAUGAAAGAUGACUCUGAAGAGAGUGGCUUAUCACCUCGGAAGUGUCCUAGGCUGGGGUUCAGGGCAGGAGGGAGGGCACUGCCUCCAGUAGUCCUGAGCCCUUCUCCUAGAUGCAGACAGGGGCUGGCCUGAAAGGCCUGUUGCCGAGAGCAGGUGCCAGGGCUGCUCCCUAUCCUCUUAUUGAGUCCUCUGGAAGAAAACUGUAAGUGUGAAGUUGCUUGGGAGCCACCCAGGAUUGGGCUGGAAAAUAGGUUUAACCAAGACUCUGGCGAACUCAGCUUCAGUUCUAGGAUCUGAGGACUGAGAAGAGUGACAUCGUCUCACAGGCCCUCGGGGUUUAAGUGCCACCAUGCAUGUGCAGAGAGCACCUGCCCGAGGCGUGAGGCUCUGGCCACCUCCUCUCCCACGCAGGGUCCCCGUCUCCCCAUCUGUUGUGCGGAUGUUAUAGGAGGUAUGAUGGCUCCAGGCCCCAGACCCCCUGACUGUCAGCUUCCAUGAAGCAAAAGAGUGGGAACUUACCUGGUCACCCAGUGGGGACGUGCAUGCGCACACCCGCUCUUACGUGCACCUGCUUCACACCCUUGGGCUCACACAGACCCCAGACACACUCACACCCUUCCCACUCCUGCACACAUGUAUUCUCACUCCUCACAAAUGUGCUCACACGCGUGGCACCCAGGGGAGAAGCAGUGGUGUGCGCUGAGGUCACAUCCACACACGCACUCCAGGCAGAAGACACCCGGUCUGCAGCCAGCCCAGCUGCAGGCUCUCGGGCUGCACACAGCAGUAGCUUUGUAACUGGCAGGGCACUGUGCUUGGAUGCGAAUAGCCCUUUCUCAUGGACUUCUCCACAAGCCAGGCUGUGCUCGGGUGAUGUUCGGGGCGGUGAGAAAAGCCUGCAAGAGGUUCAGGCAGCAUUCCGCACACACCAGAGGAGCUGCCGAUGGAACAUCAGCGUGUGCGGUGGAGUCAGAGGUAUCUCGGGAGCUUCACUUGACAAUCCUGGGGGCAGCUGGCCCUGACCCAUGAUGACUGGACCACCACCCCUUGGAAAGGAGCCCACAAACCCACACCCACCCUUGUGCAGAGUGCUGUGUCUUACAUUCACACUCACAUUCUGGAGGCGCAUGCCACAAUGAAUGCACGCUCACACAGAUACACACACGGGUCCACACACUCAGUGUAAACCCCGACACACAUUUUCUGGACAUGCGCUGCACACACAGACAUUCCCACCUGUUCUGACACACCCAGACGACAUACUAACUUGCAUCUAGCUGCAGUGUACAAACUCAUUAACUCUUGCAGACAUGUACACACACUUAAGCACACAAACGCGUGCCAACAUCACUUCUGGACGCUUGCUUAGCGACGCGCUCUGCUCCCUCACGGCUCGUAAAUGCCAAGGCCCCUGGCGUGCUUACAGGUGGCUGAGGAGUAAACAACCCCAGAGGAGAGGAUGAAGCCGGACUGGGAAGUGGAGGCCCAGAGAGAGGAAGGAGCUGCCUGGCCAGUGGGGCAAUAAUGCAGGUGCCCAGGGUCACAGGAGGGAGGUGUGGGGCAGGAGCUCCCAGAGCAAUGCUCACCACUGCCGGCCAGGAUGGUGAUGGCCAAGAACUUCUUCACACCCAGGCCGGACCUGAGAGAGGAAACUGAGCCUGAGUCUUCACCCUGCAUGAUCCUGCAGUUCUGGGCCCCACCACAGGCAUCACCCAGGCUGCUCCUCGAUGGUCCAGUAGCCGCCACCUGGUUCCGUGAUUAACGCCCCACCCGCCCUCCCUGUAGUAUCACACCCUAGAGCGGCAUAGCUGGGAAGCACCGGGACCAGCCUCCCUCCGCCCAAAAGCUUCCAAAACAGGGAGCUACUGUCUCAGGUCAGAACCUCUCCCCUUCCUACUCCCGGGAGUAGUUCUGGGACCCGGAGUCAUGCGACCUAUCCUGCAAGCUGGUUCCUGAACCCAGAGCCAAAAGAUCUGGGGUCCCGGAUUCUAGGGCUGGCUCUGCUUCCAAAAUGUUGAGUAACCGUGGAGAGAUCCUUUAGUCUUUCUGGGCCUCAAGUGCUGUAGGACGAUUGACUCAACGCCCCCAAAGCCCUUCUAGGGCUGAAAAUGUAGUGACAUUCGUCAGUCCGGCACUCAGAGACUCAGAGGUCUCCUUUCAGGAGAAACGGAUUCUAGGAGCCAGCACAACCCCCCAUCCCGGGCCCUCUCCAUCCUGGGUCAACAGGCACCUACCUGGAGCAUCUCAAUGGGGAAGAGGCACUGAGGCUUGGGUCCUUCCACCCAGAGGACCGUCUAACCAGCACCUUCUUCCUGAACCCUUUGGGGCUGGCCUGCACCCCAUCUGCCAUGUUCUGGGUUCCAGGGGGCCAGUGACAUAGGUCUUGAAAUCUUGAUGUGCUCCGGAGGUACUGGGGAGUGGGCCCCAGCUUCACACUACCGCACACGCUGACAGGGUAGGGCUGGGGCAGUGCCCCUGGGCAGGAGGCAGGUGACAGAUGCCCUAGAAAAAGCAGGCUCCGCCCCCUCCCUCCCACUGCAACUGCCCUGCCCACAGUCCCCACCUCCAAUGUGCACUGACUUGCCCUGCUGGGGGGUUUAGGUACCUGCCAAGGAGUUGGCUUCUUUCGCUCGGUAUCUGAUAGGAAAUGAGCCCAGAGGCCUCUCUAUCUCCAUCUGAAGAUGCGAAAGAAAAAGUUCUUCAAUGACACUUGUCAAAGCACAGUAGCGUGGAAUUUAUUCAAGGGUAUAGGAACCACAGCAUUAGAGUCUCCUGGUGAGGAGGAGAAACUGGGAGUCCAAAUACAGCAAGGAAAAGGGGGAUUUCUGGUUAAGGAAUAAGGUUAGGGUUGGUGAAUGGAAAAUUACCAAGACGAAACCCCAGGGAUGAGGGGGUUCUUGCCAAACUGACCUAACAGGCUUAUAGCUGAGGAGGCUGGAGAAAUCAGACACCACCUAGGGGGCUGUGGAAGCUAAGGACCUGAUCAGACACCAGGGUGACCAAACAGAGAUGGAGAGCAGGGAUCCUGGCUAAACCAACGCAGAAGCAUCCUUGCUAUAACCGGAUGACAGAGAGAGAUGGAAGUCCAGACAUCAAGGCCCAGAUGAGAGAGUUCAGAGGGCUCUGAGCUGAGUUUGGUCAAGAAGACUUUUGUCAAAGGGGCCCGUGUGUGCCUGUCUGGAAGGGAGUUAAUUUGUAGCGAGCUCCCCACCCACAUCUGCAAGGGGGCUGCACUCAUCUGGAAGAGGGUCAGUGUCCCCGUCCACCCAGGCCAAGACUAGAGGGGCCUGGGCACAUCCUUCCUCCAGGAAGUGCCCCCAGCGCCCACCUGGAAGGGCUGUCCUGCUCAGCCUGACUGACCUGCUGACCGCAGACCUCCUUUCUGUGCAUCCCAGGAAGCAGAGUAGCACCCUUGUGCUGCCCUCCCCGCACCCACUCUGAAGUUGUCACAACCAGAAAUGCCCCUGAAAUUUGAACGCGAGGCACCAUUGCCUCUGGUUGGGGGCCUGAGACACUCAAGAGUCAGCGCAGACUUUUUUUCUUGCUUGGGAAAUGAGGUGUGCACAGAAGGGAGUGGGCAGAGGAGAAGAAAGGGGAAUCCUGAGCUCCAGGAGCCACUCCGUCAGACUGAGCAGUGAUGCUGGUGGGGCUCCCGUCCCUAGCACCCCCAGUUGCUGGUUGAGUCCUGGCAAGAAUGUUCCAAGACUCGUCAUGUAGAGGUACAAGAUACCAACAAUGA